rnacentral:rRNA from 1 species
UACGUAGGUGGCAAGCGUUGUCCGGAUUUACUGGGCGUAAAGAGCGCGCAGGCGGUCGAUCAAGUCGCGUGUGAAAGCCCCCGGCUCAACUGGGGAGGGUCACGCGAUACUGAUCGACUCGAAGGCAGGAGAGGGUAGUGGAAUUCCCGGUGUAGUGGUGAAAUGCGUAGAUAUCGGGAGGAACACCAGUGGCGAAGGCGACUACCUGCCUGUUCUUGACGCUGAGGCGCGGAAAGCUAGGGGAGCAAACGGGG